CCUACGGGAGGCAGCAGUGGGGAAUAUUGGACAAUGGGGGAAACCCUGAUCCAGCGACGCCGCGUGAGUGAAGAAGUAUCUCGGUACGUAAAGCUCUAUCAGCAGGAAAGAAAAUGACGGUACCUGUCUAAGAAGCCCCGGCUAACUACGUGCCAGCAGCCGCGGUAAUACGGCAGGGGCAAGCGUUAUCCGGAUUUACUGGGUGUAAAGGGAGCGUAGACGGCUGCGAAAGUCUGGAGUGAACUGCCGGGGCCCAACCGCGGAACUGCUGUGGAAACCGGGAAGCUGGAGUGCAGGAGAGGUAGGCGGAAUUCGUGGUGUAGCAGUGAAAUGCGUAGAUAUCAGGAAGAACACCGACGGCGAAGGCAGCUUACCGGAGUGUAACUGACGUUGAGGCUCGAAGGCGUGGGUAGCGAACAGGAUUAGAUACCCCGGUAGUC
rnacentral:rRNA from 1 species